rnacentral:rRNA from 1 species
UACAGAGGUCUCGAGCGUUUGUUCGGAUUCAUUGGGCGUAAAGGGUGCGUAGGUGGUAUGGUAAGUCGGAUGUGAAAUCCCGGGGCUCAACCCCGGAACUGCAUUCGAUACUGCCGUGCUUGAGUACUGGAGAGGAGAUCGGAAUUUACGGUGUAGCAGUGAAAUGCGUAGAUAUCGUAAGGAAGACCAGUGGCGAAGGCGGCUAUCUGGGCUGCAACUGACGCUGAGGUGCGAAGGCUAGGGUAGCAAACAGG